rnacentral:rRNA from 1 species
AGUGAACGCUGGCGGCAUGCCUAAUACAUGCAAGUCGAGCGGCCGCACGGUAAGAUUUCGCUUCUACGGUUGGCGACUGGCGGAUGGGUGACGAGUAGAUCAGCUUCCUCUAUUACUUGGGGGACUACGUGGGGAAAGAUCCGCUACUACAGCAUAUUUUCUACGGCAUAGAGCAGGAGUGCAUCGCACCCUUCCCGACACUUUGAGACGGUGCCGCAUUAGCUAGUUGGUAAGGUAAGGGCCCACCAAGGCAACGCUACGUAGCCGAGCUGAGAGGAUGAUCGGCCACACUGGAACUGAGACACGGUCCAGACUCCUACGGGAGGCAGCAGUAGGGAAUCUUCCGCAAUGGGCGAAAGCCUGACGGAGCAACGCCGCGUGAGUGAUGAAGGUCUUCGGAUCGUAAAACUCUGUUAUUAGGGAAGAACAGAUGUGUAAGUAACUGCGGACAUCUUGACGGUACCUAAUCAGAAAGCAACGGCUAACUACGUG